CUGUCCUCCUCCGUCUGUCUGUGACGGUGUGAAGGACAUCAGACCGAGGACGCAGAGAAACCUCUGCCCAUUAAAGGGGACACGUCCAAAGGUGUGGACUUUGUCCUAAAGGCAGGGCAGGACAAA